UACGUAGGGUGCGAGCGUUAAUCGGAAUUACUGGGCGUAAAGCGUGCGCAGGCGGUUUUGUAAGCCAGAUGUGAAAUCCCCGGGCUUAACCUGGGAAUGGCAUUUGGGACUGCAAGGCUUGAGUGUGGCAGAGGAGACUGGAAUUCCUGGUGUAGCGGUGAAAUGCGCAGAUAUCAGGAGGAACACCCGUGGCGAAAGCGGCUCUCUGGGACGGUACUGACGCUGAGACGCGAAAGCGUGGGGAGCAAACAGG
rnacentral:rRNA from 1 species